rnacentral:rRNA from 1 species
GAUGAACGCUGGCGGCGUGCCUAAUACAUGCAAGUCGAGCGAACGGACGAGAAGCUUGCUUCUCUGAUGUUAGCGGCGGACGGGUGAGUAACACGUGGAUAACCUACCUAUAAGACUGGGAUAACUUCGGGAAACCGGAGCUAAUACCGGAUAAUAUUUUGAACCGCAUGGUUCAAAAGUGAAAGACGGUCAUGCUGUCACUUAUAGAUGGAUCCGCGCUGCAUUAGCUAGUUGGUAAGGUAACGGCUUACCAAGGCAACGAUGCAUAGCCGACCUGAGAGGGUGAUCGGCCACACUGGAACUGAGACACGGUCCAGACUCCUACGGGAGGCAGCAGUAGGGAAUCUUCCGCAAUGGGCGAAAGCCUGACGGAGCAACGCCGCGUGAGUGAUGAAGGUCUUCGGAUCGUAAAACUCUGUUAUUAGGGAAGAACAUAUGUGUAAGUAACUGUGCACAUCUUGACGGUACCUAAUCAGAAAGCCACGGCUAACUACGUG